AGCGAACGCUGGCGGCAGGCCUAACACAUGCAAGUCGAACGAACUCUUCGGAGUUAGUGGCGGACGGGUGAGUAACACGUGGGAACGUGCCUUUAGGUUCGGAAUAACUCAGGGAAACUUGUGCUAAUACCGAAUGUGCCCUCCGGGGGAAAGAUUUAUCGCCUUUAGAGCGGCCCGCGUCUGAUUAGCUAGUUGGUGAGGUAACGGCUCACCAAGGCGACGAUCAGUGGCUGGUCUGAGAGGAUGGCCAGCCACACUGGGACUGAGACACGGCCCAGACUCCUACGGGAGGCAGCAGUGGGGAAUCUUGCGCAAUGGGCGAAAGCCUGACGCAGCCAUGCCGCGUGAAUGAUGAAGGUCUUAGGAUUGUAAAAUUCUUUCACCGGGGACGAUAAUGACGGUACCCGGAGAAGAAGCCCCGGCUAACUUCGUGCCAGCAGCCGCAGUAA
rnacentral:rRNA from 1 species